UUUCCCGCCCCAGCUCCUCCCCGCGCUGCGCCCCCUGAGCGGCCGCCCUCUGUGAAGUUGAGGGCGCGUAACAAACGGAGCGGCCGCGGGGCUGCGGGCUCGCCUUCCUCCCCCGGUGGCCGGCACUCCUUCGCCGCCGGCGGGCCCGGCUCCGGGACGAGGUCGGCUGCCCGCUCUUUUUUUCCGGUGGGGAAAAUGCAGCCCGGAGUGGCAGACGGGUGGAGGACAGGCUCUGGUCGCCCUCCCUCGGUUCGUCUCAUCCUCGGGCCGCCCGAACCCUGUCCAAGGGAAGGGAACCAGGAGUUAGGACUGGACACUUGGGCAGGAAUUCCAUCCUCUGUAUCAGAGAUAGCGCAUGGGCGGUUGAGCGCACGCAGCCAUGAAAGGUGGACUGAACAUGGAAGAGGACACCCAAUCAAGCAAAAUCACCUACUUCUAUUUUUUGCAAUAGAUCCCAUUUAAGUUGGAGCUGGUGAUGAGUUUGCUGGAAGAUAAUUAUUAUUCAAAUCACAAAAUGAUAAAACUUAUGGGAUCUCAGAAAUCACCUGGUCAAAUCCCUUCACCAUCCAAAGUUUGUUUGGGUCACCAUUGAAUCUACAGCAUGAAGAAGAGUUCCUGGCUCACUAGUAGUUGGAUGAAGGAAUCUUCCUGAAAUGCUCCUGCUCAAGACUCUCCCUUUUCUCUUUCAUGCCAGGUCCAGACUCCUUUAUCUGCCUGUGAAGUCCCUCUGUGAUAUGUCUCAGCCAAAUCUGUAACUAGAUUUCCUGUUACUGUUCAUCACAUACCAACUACUUCCCUAUAUAUCUCCACGUACUCUCAACAAUCCUUUACAUAUCUUGAGGUCCACUUCAUCCAUCCAAAUUCUAUACAUCUAUGAAUCCCUUCUCUGAUAAAUCUAACCCAUAUUAGUUUUUUUUUUUUUUUCCUCCUAAGAUUCUGGUCAUGCUUACAUUAGCAUCACAGUUUACCCUUUAAAUGUUUAACAUCUCUAUGUCCCUAUGUAGUUUUUAAAAGUACCUAACACACAUUUCUUUUAGCCUUCUAACAAUCCUGUGCAGUUGGACAUGAAUUAAUUAUUCAUUCAUUCGAGAAAUGUUCAUUGAACAUUCACUGUGUGCCACUGCCCUGGGUAGGCAUAAAGGAUAUAAUAGCAAAAAAGAAGAACCAAUGUUCAAAGUACUUACAGGACAGAAACAGAGUCUAAUCAGAUAAUCAGGCAGUAAAUGUAAGAUUACAACAAUAACAAUUGCUAACAUCUACUGGACAUUUAUUAUGUGGCUGGCACUGUUCUGAGUCUUUUAUAGACUCAUUUAAUUUUCUCAACCACCCUGGGAAGAAAGUACUAUUGUUCCAUUUUGCAUGUAAGGAAAAUAACAGUUGUGGUAUAUGAAAGUAUGUGAUGCCUCAGUUUCCACGUGCAUUCAAUGGAGUUGUUAUGAUAAAUAAAUUCUUAUUGGUAGAGCCCUUAGAUCAGUGUCCAAUUUGUAUUAAACAUGACUAUUAGCUAUGAUGAUGAUGGCAGUGAGA